rnacentral:rRNA from 1 species
GACGAACGCUGGCGGCGUGCUUAACACAUGCAAGUCGAACGGAAAGGCCCUGCUUUUGUGGGGUGCUCGAGUGGCGAACGGGUGAGUAACCCGUGAGUAACCUGCCCUUGACUUUGGGAUAACUUCAGGAAACUGGGGCUAAUACCGGAUAGGAGCUCCUGCUGCAUGGUGGGGGUUGGAAAGUUUUGGCGGUUGGGGAUGGACUCGCGGCUUAUCAGCUUGUUGGUGGGGUAGUGGCUUACCAAGGCUUUGACGGGUAGCCGGCCUGAGAGGGUGACCGGCCACAUUGGGACUGAGAUACGGCCCAGACUCCUACGGGAGGCAGCAGUGGGGAAUAUUGCACAAUGGGCGGAAGCCUGAUGCAGCAACGCCGCGUGCGGGAUGACGGCCUUCGGGUUGUAAACCGCUUUCGCCUGUGACGAAGCGUGAGUGACGGUAAUGGGUAAAGAAGCACCGGCUAACUACGUG